CAGUCGCCGCGGGAAUACGUAGGGUGCAAGCGUUAAUCGGAAUUACUGGGCGUAAAGCGUGCGCAGGCGGUUAUAUAAGUCAGAUGUGAAAUCCCCGGGCUCAACCUGGGAACUGCAUUUGAGACUGUAUGGCUAGAGUGUGUCAGAGGGGGGUAGAACUCCACGUGUAGCAGUGAAAUGCGUAGAUAUGUGGAGGAAUACCGAUGGCGAAGGCAGCCCCCUGGGAUAACACUGACGCUCAUGCACGAAAGCGUGGGGAGCAAACAGGAUUAGAUACCCGCGUAGUCCCUGUCUCUUAUAC
rnacentral:rRNA from 1 species